rnacentral:rRNA from 1 species
CCUACGGGAGGCAGCAGUGAGGAAUAUUGGUCAAUGGACGAGAGUCUGAACCAGCCAAGUAGCGUGAAGGAUGACUGCCCUAUGGGUUGUAAACUUCUUUUAUAUGGGAAUAAAAUGUUCCACGUGUGGGUUUUUGUAUGUACCAUAUGAAUAAGGAUCGGCUAACUCCGUGCCAGCAGCCGCGGUAAUACGGAGGAUCCGAGCGUUAUCCGGAUUUAUUGGGUUUAAAGGGAGCGUAGGUGGAUUGUUAAGUCAGUUGUGAAAGUUUGCGGCUCAACCGUAAAAUUGCAGUUGAAACUGGCAGUCUUGAGUACAGUAGAGGUGGGCGGAAUUCGUGGUGUAGCGGUGAAAUGCUUAGAUAUCACGAAGAACCCCGAUUGCGAAGGCAGCUCACUAGACUGCAACUGACACUGAGGCUCGAAAGUGUGGGUAUCAAACAGGAUUAGAUACCCUAGUAGUC